GACGAACGCUGGCGGCGUGCCUAAUACAUGCAAGUCGAGCGGACUUUCAAGAAGCUUGCUUUUUGAAAGUUAGCGGCGGACGGGUGAGUAACACGUGGGCAACCUGCCUGUAAGACGGGGAUAACUCCGGGAAACCGGGGCUAAUACCGGAUAAUAUCUUUCUUCGCAUGAAGGAAGGUUGAAAGGCGGCGCAAGCUGCCGCUUGCAGAUGGGCCCGCGGCGCAUUAGCUAGUUGGUGAGGUAACGGCUCACCAAGGCGACGAUGCGUAGCCGACCUGGGAGGGUGAUCGGCCACACUGGGACUGAGACACGGCCCAGACGCCUACGGGAGGCAGCAGUAGGGAAUCUUCCGCAAUGGACGAAAGUCUGACGGAGCAACGCCGCGUGAGCGAAGAAGGUCUUCGGAUCGUAAAGCUCUGUUGUCAGGGAAGAACAAGUACCGUUCGAAUAGGGCGGUACCUUGACGAUACCUGACCAGAAAGCCACGGCUAACUACGUGCCAGCAGCCGCGGUAA
rnacentral:rRNA from 1 species